GUGUUCACUUUGGCAGCACAUGCACAAAAAUUGGAACAAUACAGAGAAGAUUCAUAAGGUGUCUGCGCAAGGAUGACAUACAAAUUUGUGAGGUGUUCCACAUAAAA
rfam:Macaca mulatta chromosome 2, whole genome shotgun sequence.